UACGUAGGGGGCAAGCGUUGUCCGGAAUCAUUGGGCGUAAAGAGCGCGUAGGCGGCCCUGUAAGUCCGCUGUGAAAGUCAAGGGCUCAACCCUUGAAUGCCGGUGGAUACUGCAGGGCUAGAGUCCGGAAGAGGCGAGUGGAAUUCCUGGUGUAGCGGUGAAAUGCGCAGAUAUCAGGAGGAACACCGAUGGCGAAGGCAGCUCGCUGGGACGGUACUGACGCUGAGGCGCGAAGGCGCGGGGAGCGAACGGG
rnacentral:rRNA from 1 species